rnacentral:rRNA from 1 species
GAUGAACGCUGGCGGCGUGCCUAAUACAUGCAAGUCGAGCGAACAGAUGAGGAGCUUGCUCUCUGACGUUAGCGGCGGACGGGUGAGUAACACGUGGAUAACCUACCUAUAAGACUGGGAUAACUUCGGGAAACCGGAGCUAAUACCGGAUAAUAUAUUGAACCGCAUGGUUCAAUAGUGAAAGACGGUUUUGCUGUCACUUAUAGAUGGAUCCGCGCCGCAUUAGCUAGUUGGUAAGGUAACGGCUUACCAAGGCAACGAUGCGUAGCCGACCUGAGAGGGUGAUCGGCCACACUGGAACUGAGACACGGUCCAGACUCCUACGGGAGGCAGCAGUAGGGAAUCUUCCGCAAUGGGCGAAAGCCUGACGGAGCAACGCCGCGUGAGUGAUGAAGGUCUUCGGAUCGUAAAACUCUGUUAUUAGGGAAGAACAAAUGUGUAAGUAACUAUGCACGUCUUGACGGUACCUAAUCAGAAAGCCACGGCUAACUACGUG